rnacentral:rRNA from 1 species
UACGUAGGGUGCAAGCGUUGUUCGGAAUUACUGGGCGUAAAGCGCGCGUAGGCGGGUUUGCAAGUCGAUUGUGAAAGCCCUGGGCUUAACCUGGGAAUUGCAGUCGAAACUGUAAAUCUUGAGUGCCUGAGAGGAUGGCGGAAUUCCCGGUGUAGUAGUGAAAUACGUAGAUAUCGGGAAGAACACCUGAGGCGAAGGCGGCUAUCUGGCGGUGCACUGACGCUGAGGCGCGAAAGCGUGGGGAGCAAACAGG